CAGUCGCCACGGUAAUACGAAGGGGGCUAGCGUUGCUCGGAAUGACUGGGCGUAAAGGGCGCGUAGGCGGCGAUCAAAGUCAGGCGUGAAAUUCCUGGGCUCAACCUGGGGGCUGCGCUUGAUACUUGGUUGCUUGAGUGGGGAAGAGGGUCGUGGAAUUCCCAGUGUAGAGGUGAAAUUCGUAGAUAUUGGGAAGAACACCGGUGGCGAAGGCGGCGACCUGGUCCUUGACUGACGCUGAGGCGCGAAAGCGUGGGGAGCAAACAGGAUUAGAUACCCCCGUAGUCCCUGUCUCUUAUAU
rnacentral:rRNA from 1 species